rnacentral:rRNA from 1 species
AGUAACACGUAGAUAACCUGCCCUUUAGUGGGGAAUAACAGCUCGAAAGAGUUGCUAAUACCGCAUACGCUCUCUAUCAAUAGGUAGAGAGGAAAGCUUUAGUGCUGAAGGAGGGGUCUGCGGCGGAUUAGCUAGUUGGUGGGGUAAAGGCCUACCAAGGCGACGAUCCGUAGCUGGUCUGAGAGGACGAUCAGCCACACUGGGACUGAGACACGGCCCAG